rnacentral:rRNA from 1 species
UACGAAGGGGGCUAGCGUUGCUCGGAAUUACUGGGCGUAAAGGGCGCGUAGGCGGCACUGUUAGUCAGGCGUGAAAUUCCUGGGCUCAACCUGGGGACUGCGCUUGAUACGGCAGAGCUUGAGGAUGGAAGAGGGUCGCGGAAUUCCCAGUGUAGAGGCGAAAUUCGUAGAUAUUGGGAAGAACACCGGUGGCGAAGGCGGCGACCUGGUCCAUUACUGACGCUGAGGCGCGACAGCGUGGGGAGCAAACAGG